GCGCGAGUGGCGGAAUGGUAGACGCGCUACCUUGAGGUGGUAGUGGGAGCAAUCCUGUGGAGGUUCAAAUCCUCUCUCGCGCACCA
rnacentral:tRNA from 1 species